GCUAGGUGUCUCGCCACGACUGCGACUGUUGUCGGUGCCGUAGGGAAGCCGUGAAGCGAGCCACCUGGGAAGUACGGCCGCAAGGCUGAAACUUAAAGGAAUUGGCGGGGGAGCACCACAACGGGUGGAGCUUGCGGUUUAAUUGGAUUCAACGCCGGAAAUCUUACCGGGACCGACAGCAAUAUGAAGGCCAGGCUGAAGACUUUGCCUGAUUAGCUGAGAGGAGGUGCAUGGCA
rnacentral:rRNA from 1 species